UAUUCCUGGUUAUUUGAAGACAGCUGGCAAUUUUUAUUGAUGCAUGUAAGACACCUACCAUUGUUGGAUCAAGGAUGGUUCUUCAUCUACGGAGUAUCAAGCUCUUUCAACCAUUCUACCCAUAAAAAUUCCACUAUCUCUUUCUCUCUCUUACUUUGUUGUUUUACCCUUUGAAAUGUGAUAUAUGGUUUUGAAAUUUAAGGCUGAUUUCGGAAGAAAUUAAUUUGUUUUUUGAAAUUUGUCUUGAUUUCAGAUCAGAGACAAAGCUGAAAAGGACGGGCAGAAGAAGAAGCAACAAGGAAGAGACGAUUCUAGAAGGUGGAGAGGUUUGAAGAGCAACCCCAAGUUUUUAAGUUUCAGCAAAUAGAUCCAAGACUUCUUGAUACUUUUGGAGAAACAAUAGGGAAUGGACAGUCACCGAACAAUUUGGUUCAUAUUACUUCAUAGCAAUUUAUAGUUAAUAUGAUUAAAUAGGAUUGUCGAUUAAGGUUCAUAAUUCUUUUGUUCAUAUAUAAUAUAUAGUUAUACUAUGUUAUUAUGAAAUUUAUCAUAUACAGAGUAGUACUUUGUAAGUACCAAGUACUAAGUUCAGUUGUAUAGCAGACACGUGCAAAGCACGUGCCAUUUACUAGUUUUUUUAUAUAAACAUAAGGAAAAGGUACACAAGAUCCUCUUCCAACCUUGUACCUA